UGUAUCAUUAUCUCUUGAUGCAGUAGUUCCAAGCCUAUAUGAAGGUCUAAAACAGGUGUCAUAAUUGCACUGCAUUAUUCCAAGCAAACUUACAAUCAUAAUUGACGACAACCUCCCACACAAUUUUGGCAGAAUCAGAAUUAGGAAGAUUUGGAGAUCAAAGUUUCUCCUAUUAAAAUAAUUAUUUCCUUGGAUCAAUUUUAUUUGAUUUUUUAUUUUAUUGUUAAUUGUUUUCUUAGAGUGAAUAAA
rnacentral:lncRNA from 1 species